UUGCCUCAGUAACGGCGAGUGAAGCGGCAACAGCUCAAAUUUGAAAUCUGGCCGCAGGGUCCGAGUUGUAAUUUGCAGAGGAUGCUUUUGGCGAGGUGCCUUCCGAGUUCCCUGGAACGGGACGCCUUAGAGGGUGAGAGCCCCGUACGGUCGGACACCAAGCCUCUGUAAAGCUCCUUCGACGAGUCGAGUAGUUUGGGAAUGCUGCUCAAAAUGGGAGGUAUAUGUCUUCUAAAGCUAAAUACCGGCCAGAGACCGAUAGCGCACAAGUAGAGUGAUCGAAAGAUGAAAAGCACUUUGAAAAGAGGGUUAAAAAGUACGUGAAAUUGUUGAAAGGGAAGCGCUCAUGACCAGACUUGGGCUUGGUUGAUCAUCCGGCGUUCUCGCCGGUGCACUUCGCCAGCUCAGGCCAGCAUCAGUUUGCCCCGGGGGAUAAAAGCUUCGGGAAUGUGGCUCCCUACGGGGAGUGUUAUAGCCCGUUGCAUAAUACCCUGGGGCGGACCGAGGUUCGCGCUUCGGCAAGGAUGCUGGCGUAAUGGUCAUCAGCGACCCGUCUUGAAACACGGACCAAGGAGUCAACUUCGUGUGCGAGUGUUCGGGUGUCAAACCCCUACGCGUAAUGAAAGUGAACGUAGGUGAGAGCUUCGGCGCAUCAUCGACCGAUCCUGAUGUUCUCGGAUGGAUUUGAGUAAGAGCAUAACUGUUCGGACCCGAAAGAAGGUGAACUAUGCUUGGAUAGGGUGAAGCCAGAGGAAACUCUGGUGGAGGCUCGCAGCGGUUCUGACGUGCAAAUCGAUCGUCAAAUCUG
rnacentral:rRNA from 1 species